ACGCCACGCCAGCGUAGCCUUGACGUCGCCGCCGGACCUCAGGUAUCUCGUCGUUCUCUCUCUAGGUGUAGUGUCGGUGAGUUGGCCGAUUCUCUGUGUUUUAUUUUUUGUUUCUCGCAUGUGUGUGUGUUGAAACUCGGG